rnacentral:rRNA from 1 species
AGCAGCCGCCGCGGUAAUACGUAGGUGGCAAGCGUUGUCCGGAAUUAUUGGGCGUAAAGGGCUCGCAGGCGGUUUCUUAAGUCUGAUGUGAAAGCCCCCGGCUCAACCGGGGAGGGUCAUUGGAAACUAGGAAACUUGAGCGCAGAAGAGGAGAGUGGAAUUCCACGUGUAGCGGUGAAAUGCGUAGAGAUGUGGAGGAACACCAGUGGCGAAGGCGACUCUCUGGUCUGUAACUGACGCUGAGGAGCGAAAGCGUGGGGAGCGAACAGGAUUAGAUACCCCUGUAGUCCCUGUCUCUUAUAC